rnacentral:rRNA from 1 species
UACGAAGGGGCAAGCGUUGUUCGGAAUCACUGGGCGUAAAGAGUUCGUAGGCGGUUCAAUUAGUCAGAGGUGAAAGCCCAGGGCUCAACCUUGGAAAUGCCUUUGAUACUGUUGGACUAGAAUCCGUGAGAGGGUGGUGGAAUUUCCAGUGUAGAGGUGAAAUUCGUAGAUAUUGGAAGGAACACCAGUGGCGAAGGCGGCCACCUGGCGCGGUAUUGACGCUGAGGACGAAAGCGUGGGGAGCAAACAGG